GUCCACGCCGUAAACGAUGGAUACUAGCUGUUGGGGGCAACCUCAGUGGCUAAGCGAAAGUGAUAAGUAUCCCACCUGGGGAGUACGUUCGCAAGAAUGAAACUCAAAGGAAUUGACGGGGGCCCGCACAAGCGGUGGAGCAUGUGGUUUAAUUCGAUGAUACGCGAGGAACCUUACCAAGGCUUAAAUGUAGUUUGACCGAUUUGGAAACAGAUCUUUCGCAAGACAAAUUACAAGGUGCUGCAUGGUUGUCGU
rnacentral:rRNA from 1 species